rnacentral:rRNA from 1 species
UAGGAAUAUGCCUUGAAGUGGGGGGCAACUUGGGGGAAACUCAAGCUAAUACCGCAUAAUUUCUCAGGAAAAAAGCUAGGGACCUUCGGGCCUGGCGCUUCAAGAUUAGCCUGCGUACGAUUAGCUAGUUGGUGGGGUAAGGGCCUACCAAGGCGACGAUCGUUAGCUGGUCUGAGAGGAUGACCAGCCACACUGGAACUGAGACACGGUCCAGACCUCCGUACGGGAGGCAG